rnacentral:rRNA from 1 species
ACGACUGGGUUGAUAGGCCGGAUCUGGAAGCACGGUAACGUGUGGAGGUGACCGGUACUAAUAGGCCGAGGGCUUGUCCUC